rnacentral:rRNA from 1 species
CGGGGCAACCUGGCGGCGAGUGGCGAACGGGUGAGUAAUAUAUCGGAACGUACCCAGAAGUGGGGGAUAACGUAGCGAAAGUUACGCUAAUACCGCAUACGAUCUACGGAUGAAAGUGGGGGACCUUCGGGCCUCAUGCUUUUGGAGCGGCCGAUAUCUGAUUAGCUAGUUGGUAGGGUAAAGGCCUACCAAGGCGACGAUCAGUAGCUGGUCUGAGAGGACGACCAGCCACACUGGGACUGAGACACGGCCCAGACUCCUACGGGAGGCAGCAGUGGGGAAUUUUGGACAAUGGGCGCAAGCCUGAUCCAGCAAUGCCGCGUGAGUGAAGAAGGCCUUCGGGUUGUAAAGCUCUUUUGUCAGGGAAGAAACGGUUGAGGCUAAUAUCCUCGGCUAAUGACGGUACCUGAAGAAUAAGCACCGGCUAACUACGUGCCAGCAGCCGCGGUAAUACGUAGGGUGCAAGCGUUAAUCGGAAUUACUGGGCGUAAAGCGUGCGCAGGCGGUUUUGUAAGUCUGACGUGAAAUCCCCGGGCUCAACCUGGGAAUUGCGUUGGAGACUGCAAGGCUGGAGUCUGGC